CUUCAACACAGAGCCUUGUCACACACCGAACAAAACGCUAUAAAGGGCCCCCAAAAAAAUACUAGUGUAAAUCCAAACCAUUGAAACGGGCUAACCAACGGUCUAAUCUAUAUGAAAUAACAAGAAAUGAGAAAACACAAUUUCAUACAAUAAUAUAAUUGUCUGUGAACAGUCUUUAUCUAUUUUAAGGUUAAAAUAAAGCAAAAGCAAAAUUUGUAUUCAACAAUUCAUUCAGUCAAAUUAAUAUUUGAUUAGUUACUGGCAUGUCAGUUAACUGCUAGUAGUCUGUUGUUAUUUAUGUAUUAUUGUCAUUUUGUUUAUUUUCUUUGGUUACAUCUUCUGACAUCAGACUCGGAUUUCUCUUGAAC
rnacentral:lncRNA from 1 species